AUACUUACCUUGUCUGGGUCUCGGUAGAUCAAGUAUUACUGAGACUAGGUUGGAAAGCCUGCAUUGCACAUCGUGGCGCCGACCAGUCUGGUUUGUCCUUCGGGGCCAACCUGGGCGGAAUUUUUGAUAUUUAUCAGCUCUCCUGAUUC
rnacentral:snRNA from 12 species